rnacentral:rRNA from 1 species
GACGAACGCUGGCGGCGUGCUUAACACAUGCAAGUCGAACGGAAAGGCCCUGCUUGCCGGGUACUCGAGUGGCGAACGGGUGAGUAACACGUGGGUGAUCUGCCCUGCACUUCGGGAUAAGCCUGGGAAACUGGGUCUAAUACCGGAUAGGAGCCAUUUUUAGUGUGAUGGUUGGAAAGUUUUUUCGGUGUAGGAUGAGCUCGCGGCCUAUCAGCUUGUUGGUGGGGUAAUGGCCUACCAAGGCGGCGACGGGUAGCCGGCCUGAGAGGGUGGACGGCCACAUUGGGACUGAGAUACGGCCCAGACUCCUACGGGAGGCAGCAGUGGGGAAUAUUGCACAAUGGGCGCAAGCCUGAUGCAGCGACGCCGCGUGGGGAUGACGGCCUUCGGGUUGUAAACUCCUUUCGCUAGGGACGAAGCUUUUUGUGACGGUACCUAGAUAAGAAGCACCGGCUAACUACGUG